rnacentral:ncRNA from 2 species
AACAUGUAACAAGGGUGCCGUUAAAUUGGCUGAGAAUAUACCUUCAAGCAGAUCGAGAUAAUGCUCGCGUUGCAAGUUAUUUUUUAUAUAUC